CAAUAGCGUAUAUUAAAGCUGUUGCGGUUAAAAAGCUCGUAGUUGGAUUUCUGUCAAGUACAACUGGUCCGCCCUCCGGGUGAGCACAUAGUUUGGUCUUGGCAUCUUGCUGGAAACUGUUGCUGCACUUGGUUGUGUGGCGCAGCAUCCAGCACUUUCACUUUGAGGAAAUUGGAGUGUUUCAAGCAGGCACAUGCCUUUGGACACAGUAGCAUGGAAUAAUUAGAUUGGGCUUUUGCUCCAAUUUGUCGGUUUCUGGAGCUGAGGUGAGAAUUAAUGGGGAUUGUUGGGGGCAUCCGAAUUUAGCCGUCAGAGGUGAAAUUCUUGGAUCUGCUAAAGACGGACAACUGCGAAAGCGUUUGCCCAGGAUGUUUUCAUUG
rnacentral:rRNA from 1 species